AGAGUUUGAUCCUGGCUCAGGACGAACGCUGGCGGCGUGCUUAACACAUGCAAGUCGAGCGGUAAGGCCUUUCGGGGUACACGAGCGGCGAACGGGUGAGUAACACGUGGGUGAUCUGCCCUGCACUCUGGGAUAAGCUUGGGAAACUGGGUCUAAUACCGGAUAUGACCACAGCAUGCAUGUGUUGUGGUGGAAAGAUUUAUCGGUGCAGGAUGGGCCCGCGGCCUAUCAGCUUGUUGGUGGGGUAAUGGCCUACCAAGGCGACGACGGGUAGCCGACCUGAGAGGGUGACCGGCCACACUGGGACUGAGACACGGCCCAGACUCCUACGGGAGGCAGCAGUGGGGAAUAUUGCACAAUGGGCGGAAGCCUGAUGCAGCGACGCCGCGUGAGGGAUGAAGGCCUUCGGGUUGUAAACCUCUUUCAGCAGGGACGAAGCGUGAGUGACGGUACCUGCAGAAGAAGCACCGGCUAACUACGUGCCAGCAGCCGCGGUAAUACGUAGGGUGCGAGCGUUGUCCGGAAUUACUGGGCGUAAAGAGUUCGUAGGCGGUUUGUCGCGUCGUUUGUGAAAACCCGGGGCUCAACUUCGGGCUUGCAGGCGAUACGGGCAGACUUGAGUGUUUCAGGGGAGACUGGAAUUCCUGGUGUAGCGGUGAAAUGCGCAGAUAUCAGGAGGAACACCGGUGGCGAAGGCGGGUCUCUGGGAAACAACUGACGCUGAGGAACGAAAGCGUGGGUAGCAAACAGGAUUAGAUACCCUGGUAGUCCACGCCGUAAACGGUGGGCGCUAGGUGUGGGUUCCUUCCACGGGAUCUGUGCCGUAGCUAACGCAUUAAG
rnacentral:rRNA from 1 species